GGAGACAGAAGAAAAGAAGAUUCCUGUUUGCAUGUUGUGCUCCGGUGCAGAGUUUGCCUGAGAUAGCCCAACAGCUGCAUCCUGUCUUGUCUCCUUCUAGAGAGCUUCGUGACUUUUCUGAACAGAAUACAAGAGUAGGCAGAAGACCCAGUGGGACUGGCCUUCUCUUCAGGCCACUCCAGAUGACACCAACACUGGACAAAAGACACUGUCUCCCACAUUUACUGAAUGAGCAGCUUCAGGGAGAAGAGUAGCAUCAAUGAGAACAGAAAAAACAACAUAUUCUCUGUCUGUGCUUCAGAAGAGUGCAAGAUAUUCACCAGCUGGUGUCGGAGCAGAGGCUUUAAGAGAUGGAGGAAGAAAUGGGGGAACUUCCCUGAUGAACCUUUGUCAUGGCUUUACAUCAAGAAAGAAACUUCACAAGAGGCAGGACAGAGAUUCUCCCAAAAAAGAAGGAAUAAGGAUAGCAUGCAGAGAACAAGGACCAGCAAGGACUCAAUGUGACUGAUGUGUACCCCGGACUACAGAGUUGUCCUGCUGACCGCAUGCCUUCUGGACUGUAACACCCCGAAACAAAACAGCUGCCACAAGGUGUUUGUCAGCUGAGAGCAGGCCUUUCCCCAGCUGGGGCCUUCCCAGAGGACUUAAAGGAUGGACCAAGAAGAUGAGAAAAUCCCUGAAGUUGUGUUGCUCCUUUCCAUCAAGAAAGAAACCUUACAUAAGGCAGAACUGUGUUCUCUCAUAAAUGAGGCACAGGGAGAGCAUACCGAGAACAAGCAGAAGGCACAACCCAGAAAGAAACUUUAUAUGGGGAGAAGAGAGUGUUCUCCCAGAAAUGAGGCACAAGGCGAUCGUCCAGAGAACAUGCAGAAGGCACAACCCAGACAACUGGUCCAGGUGCAGUGUUCCUGGUGGUGGCUCAGUGUUCCAGCUGUGGAUUCAGGGAACUCAGAACAUCAUGAUGAAAAUAAUCUCUCAGACUAUAGAGUCAAAUUCCUGCUGGUGCUCCAGUCUCAUCAGAGAAGAAAUUAAGUCCCUCCUCCUAUGGAUCCUCUCAUUUUUGUCAUUCUCGCCUGCAGGAGAUUCAGUCCUUCCUCUGAGGGGGCUACUCAUACCUGCAGGUGAUUUAGACCCUCUUGAAGGGAAUUCUGUCUCCAGAUUGGGAUGCGGACCCUCCUGUUAGGGAAUUAACUCUCUAAAUCUUCUCACAGAGUAUGUGUGACGACCUGGAGACAGCAUUAUCUGCACUUCUAAACUCUGAUUGGUAAAGAGAAUCCACGAUAUGAGUUUGAAAACCUCUGAGUUAUAUACUGAGUAAUGAAAACCUAUGAGUUAUAAACUGUUAAUUUCUAAAUGUAUUCUGUUGAGUAUGAAAAUCUCUGUAAUGUUUUGAUGAAAUUUACUUACUUCCUAGAUUUCAAACAAUAAUAGAAGCUAUAGUUAAAUUUUAGUAUAUGCUUGCUCAAAGUAAUUUGAAAAUAUUUUUGAUUUUUAUUAAAGAUGGUGUAUGACAUAG
rnacentral:lncRNA from 1 species